UCCAAGCCAUGAUGGUGGACUGGGG
rnacentral:miRNA from 1 species